UUUCUCAUUUGAAAAAUAAAUAAAAUUCCUAGAAGACGCAUUCUCUGAGCUCAAAUUCUUCCGCCGCGCCCGAUGAGCUGAAGAUGGAUAUAUCAAAUUCUCUGCUUUGUAGCCAGGGCUGCUUUGAUUCGGGGACAACGAGGAGGGUCAGCUGCUUUCGUAAGCUGGACGAGUAUUAUUCUUACGAGGAGUUGGACCAUGGGUGACAUGGACCAAAUGGUGGAGCGGAGUCAAGAUUUCAGGUAUUAUCCAUGCCUUUAUUGUUUAAACUUAACAAAAUCAUUGAUAUGUAUGUUUAGCAAUAGGUUAUUGAUAUUUCAACCCAGUUGGAUGAAUCUUGAUUAACUACAUGUCAAAUGAUAUUUGCUCUUUCAUAGAGCAGGAUAUGGGGCACUACACAAAUAUAUAGUUGCUUUUGCUGCAUUAGAUUCUUUCUUUGCUUUCCAUUUUAUAAAAUACGAGUAAUGAACUGAAAGUGCAAUGUCAUGGUCUUUUUUAACUUUUCGACCAUCUUUAAGUUAUGUUUCAUGUUUGAACGAGGCAUUCUUAUAUCUUUGUGAUUAUUAGAGGGUGUGGAAUUCCAAACAAUACCAUAUGGUGUCACAAAAAUCUCUUUGUAGAUUCCCUAAGAAUAUACAUGGUGGUGGAAGGAGCAUGCAACUCAUGUCUCGGGAAAUUAGAGGUCAUGAAUUUGAAUCUCUUUGUAGGCAAACACUUGUCAAUGUGAUUUAUAUGUGUUGAUGCACAGCCUCAUCUAGGUUCAUAGGUUUAUGGAGUAUUUAUGGCACUCAAAAUCUUACAAUCAAGGGCUACAUCCAAUAUGAUUGUGCUAGUACUCCCUUCAUCAUUAAAUGGAAAAAAAGGAAAUAAACCAAAACUCUUUCUAGGGUACGUACAAUGUGUCUAAUGUGAGAGUUCACUGCUACUAGUUUUAUGAUCUAUCCCCAUAUGCCCCUUGUAAUAAUUGUAGUGUGAUGAUAGUGCCAUGACACGGGCGAGAAACUGGGCUUCUGUCAUGUAGAAGGUCGUAGCCUGUGCAGAAGCUUUUUGAGAUAUAUCAUGCCUAAUAUAUUGGUACUUUCUCGAGCAGUUCAAGAUGAAAAUGUCAAGGUGCUCUAUGUGUCCAUCUCAUAUUAGGAUAUUAACUCAAAUAUUGAAGUUCACUUUAGGGUUAAUUCACCAGCCAAAACGCAGUUUUUCCAUUUCCGGGUUUGUGCUAAAGAUGCCUUAUGUGCAUAGAUUGUAUUUUAAUUGCUUUUACCCUCUGGACCAGUGAGAUUUUGUUGAUAAACCAAAUAUGAGACAAUUGAAAACAAUUACUGUUGUAACUGCAUUCUCAGAAACUACAAAAGAAGACUGCUGUAGCUUCCUGUACUAUCUAUUAAGGGGCAUUGCUAUUGCAUUAAUAGUGUUCCGUAAGAGAAAAGAUGGACAUUACGUUUGUUUCCGUUUGAAUAGGUAGCUGCGUAAUGGCCCGUUUCCUUUAUUGGUAUUAUGAGCUGCAACUUCUUCAUUUGGUAGAAAUGCAAAUGCAUCACAGUUGUAAUAAAAUUUAAAUGCGAACUCCGUUUAUGGUAAGAGCCGUGUAUGAUGGCAUGUCGUCUGCCACGUGCCGUUCACUCCGUCCUGUGACCUAGCAUUCUAUUCUCCACACUGUUUGAUUUUAGGGGUGGAUAGCAUUAUAUAUAGCCCCUUCCUCUCAUUCCUUUCAUCACCAUGACAUAAUCUCUUCAUUUUGUUGGCAAUCUCCUUUCCUCCUCUGCUCCUCAUGGAUCUAAAGCCUGAGUCCAAACCCAUGAAAGCCCGUCGAGAUAGAGGCCCGAAAAUGUACAAGGGUGUCCGGAUGAGGGAGUGGGGCACAUGGGUUUCCGAGAUUAGGGUCCCGAAAACUGGAGAAAGAAUUUGGUUGGGCUCUUUUGACGACCCGAAGAAGGCAGCUCGAGCCCAUGAUGCUGCUCUGUAUUGUCUCCAGGGUGAAAAUGCAGUGUUUAAUUUCCCAAAUGAGAAGAGGCCCGUCGGCCUCGUACCUUCUUCUGGCUCCUCAUUUAAAAAAGAUAUAAAGGAGAUUGCGAACACUUUUGCAUCACUGAAUGAUUCAGAAAAUCCUGUGGAUAUUCAAGUACCAGGCAACGUGCAGGAUUUGCCAUACAUUCCUGUCAUUGGUGAAAUGGAAGCUGCUGGCACAGGGGUUUCUGAACCAUCAGUGUCCACUAUGAUCGCUGACGAUCUUCCGGAAAAUUUGUUUACUGAUGAUUGGCUGUCUAUGGCCAUGGGUUUGCUUAAUGAUUAAUUUCAUUGUCUAGUCGUGUUGUUAGGCAUUUACAAUCCAGUUCCGUUUGGGUGUCAUUAGGUUAGUUGUUUGAAGGUUGUAUUGCUAAUCAAAAGGAAAACAAAGAGGUUGUAUUGUUUGGAUAAGUGUUAGUGAUGUUCCUUGUUAUGUGCUUUUUA